GUACACUCCUGCGGGAGGCAGCAGUGGGGAAUAUUGGACAAUGGGCGCAAGCCUGAUCCAGCCAUGCCGCGUGAGUGAUGAAGGCCCUAGGGUUGUAAAGCUCUUUCACCGGUGAAGAUAAUGACGGUAACCGGAGAAGAAGCCCCGGCUAACUUCGUGCCAGCAGCCGCGGUAAUACGAAGGGGGCUAGCGUUGUUCGGAUUUACUGGGCGUAAAGCGCACGUAGGCGGACUAUUAAGUCAGGGGUGAAAUCCCGGGGCUCAACCCCGGAACUGCCUUUGAUACUGGUAGUCUUGAGUUCGAGAGAGGUGAGUGGAAUUCCGAGUGUAGAGGUGAAAUUCGUAGAUAUUCGGAGGAACACCAGUGGCGAAGGCGGCUCACCGGCUCGAUACUGACGCUGAGGUGCGAAAGCGUGGGGAGCAAACAGGAUUAGAAACCCGUGUAGUCCCAUGAU
rnacentral:rRNA from 1 species